GUCAUUUCCUCUCCUUUCCAAAGGAUGAAACAGCUGAGAUUGCAGGGACUAAACUUCAAGACAUACAGAAAAUUAUUGUAGCUUCCAGAAUCCACUGGAUCUCAGCAGAGUAUCCCAGCAAUUACCCAUUCACAGAGAAGUGGUCUUUCUACAGUUUGAUGCAGCAAUCAGACAUCAAUUAUGGUAGGAAUUACAACUUGUU
rnacentral:lncRNA from 12 species